rnacentral:rRNA from 1 species
GGAAGUAAAAGUCGUAACAAGGUCUCCGUUGGUGAACCAGCGGAGGGAUCAUUACCGAGUUUACAACUCCCAAACCCAAUGUGAACGUUACCAAACUGUUGCCUCGGCGGGAUCUCUGCCCCGGGUGCGUCGCAGCCCCGGACCAAGGCGCCCGCCGGAGGACCAACCAAAACUCUUUUUGUAUACCCCCUCGCGGGUUUUUUAUAAUCUGAGCCUUCUCGGCGCCUCUCGUAGGCGUUUCGAAAAUGAAUCAAAACUUUCAACAACGGAUCUCUUGGUUCUGGCAUCGAUGAAGAACGCAGCGAAAUGCGAUAAGUAAUGUGAAUUGCAGAAUUCAGUGAAUCAUCGAAUCUUUGAACGCACAUUGCGCCCGCCAGUAUUCUGGCGGGCAUGCCUGUCCGAGCGUCAUUUCAACCCUCGAACCCCUCCGGGGGGUCGGCGUUGGGGAUCGGCCCUGCCUCUUGGCGGUGGCCGUCUCCGAAAUACAGUGGCGGUCUCGCCGCAGCCUCUCCUGCGCAGUAGUUUGCACACUCGCAUCGGGAGCGCGGCGCGUCCACAGCCGUUAAACACCCAACUUCUGAAAUGUUGACCUCGGAUCAGGUAGGAAUACCCGCUGAACUUAAGCAUAUCAAUAAGCGGA